AGUUCUGUAGGCUUAACGUGU
rnacentral:tRNA from 1 species